UUUUUGUGUAGUGUGUAACCAACUACGGCUGCAGAAUAUACAGAGUCUCUGGUGUUGAUGGAAAGGAUUGUUUACCUAGAGGCAGCUUGGUAUGACAUGUCACAAAGCAUUCUGUUUGAUUAACAGAUAAUAGAUACUGCAGACACUAGCAAAUUAUACUUACCUAGCAGUUGCCGUAUUCCAGCCAUGGAGUCAUAAUCUUAGAAUAAAGGUCUCGGUGUUUAGGUGAAUCUGAGGAAAGUCCAAAAUAUUGCAACUGUUCCAGUUGUUAAAAUUGUAAGCAAAGACGUAUGCUGGCUUAAACACAUCAACAAGACAACAAAACACUCAUUUCAUAUGCUGGCUCCAGUGAUGUUAAUUCAGCUGCAGAUACUUCUGUUCUCAAAUAUGUAUCAACAGUACCUGUGUCAGAUGUACUGGCAAACAUGUUAUAUCUUCAAUUUUGUCGAGCCCGCUUGCGGAAGCAAAGAUAGAUGUCCAAAUGGCUGUUCUGUGUAUGUGCGUGUGUGCGUGCGUCCGUCCGUCAGGAUUUGUUUGUCCGGACCAUAACUGACAUGCGUGGAGCAAUCUCGUUUAUAUUUGGCAUGAAUGUUAACCUCAGUGAGACGGAGUGUCAUGCGCAAACUGCAGGUUCCUAUCUCAAAGGUCAAGGUCACACUUGGAGGUCAAAGGUUAAAUUCAAUAAUGACUGUCUGGAGCAUUAAUUUUCUUCUUCAUGCAUGGAGGGAUUUUGAUGUAACUUGGCACAAAUGUUCACAACCAUGUGACAGAGUGUCAUGCACAAGAA